GGGAUAACAUUCUGAAAAGAAUGCUAAUACCGCAUGACAUAUCGGAACCACAUGGUUUUGAUAUCAAAGAUUUUAUCGCUUGAAGAUGGACUCGCGUCCGAUUAGUUAGUUGGUGAGGUAACGGCUCACCAAGACCGCGAUCGGUAGCCGGACUGAGAGGUUGAACGGCCACAUUGGGACUGAGACACGGCCCAGACUCCUACGGGAGGCAGCAGUGGGGGAUAUUGCGCAAUGGGGGCAACCCUGACGCAGCAACGCCGCGUGAAGGAUGAAGGUUUUCGGAUUGUAAACUUCUUUUAUUAAGGACGAAAAAUGACGGUACUUAAUGAAUAAGCUCCGGCUAACUACGUGCCAGCAGCCGCGGUAAUACGUAGGGAGCAAGCGUUGUCCGGAUUUACUGGGUGUAAAGGGUGCGUAGGCGGCUUUGCAAGUCAGAUGUGAAAUCUAUGGGCUCAACCCAUAAACUGCAUUUGAAACUGUAGAGCUUGAGUGAAGUAGAGGCAGGCGGAAUUCCCCGUGUAGCGGUGAAAUGCGUAGAGAUGGGGAGGAACACCAGUGGCGAAGGCGGCCUGCUGGGCUUUAACUGACGCUGAGGCACGAAAGCGUGGGUAGCAAACAGGAUUAGAUACCCUGGUAGUCCACGCUGUAAACG
rnacentral:rRNA from 1 species